rnacentral:rRNA from 1 species
AGAGUUUGAUCCUGGCUCAGGACGAACGCUGGCGGCGUGCUUAACACAUGCAAGUCGAACGGUGAAGAGGAGCUUGCUUCUUGGAUCAGUGGCGAACGGGUGAGUAACACGUGAGCAAUCUGCCCUUGACUCUGGGAUAACUGCGGGAAACUGUAGCUAAUACCGGAUAUUACCUUGGAAGGCAUCUUCUGGGGUGGAAAGAAUUUUGGUCAAGGAUGAGCUCGCGGCCUAUCAGCUAGUUGGUGAGGUAAUGGCUCACCAAGGCGACGACGGGUAGCCGGCCUGAGAGGGUGACCGGCCACACUGGGACUGAGACACGGCCCAGACUCCUACGGGAGGCAGCAGUGGGGAAUAUUGCACAAUGGGCGCAAGCCUGAUGCAGCAACGCCGCGUGAGGGACGACGGCCUUCGGGUUGUAAACCUCUUUUAGUAGGGAAGAAGUGACUGGGUUUUCCUGGAAGUGACGGUACCUGCAGAAAAAGCACCGGCUAACUACGUGCCAGCAGCCGCGGUAAUACGUAGGGUGCAAGCGUUGUCCGGAAUUAUUGGGCGUAAAGAGCUCGUAGGCGGUUUGUUGCGUCUGCUGUGAAAACCCGAGGCUCAACCUCGGGCCUGCAGUGGGUACGGGCAGACUAGAGUGCGGUAGGGGAGAUUGGAAUUCCUGGUGUAGCGGUGGAAUGCGCAGAUAUCAGGAGGAACACCAAUGGCGAAGGCAGAUCUCUGGGCCGUAACUGACGCUGAGGAGCGAAAGCAUGGGGAGCGAACAGGAUUAGAUACCCUGGUAGUCCAUGCCGUAAACGUUGGGAACUAGAUGUGGGGACCAUUCCACGGUCUCCGUGUUCGCAGCUAAACGCAUUAAGUUCCCCGCCUGG